rnacentral:rRNA from 1 species
GGGGAAUAUUGGACAAUGGGCGCAAGCCUGAUCCAGCAAUGCCGCGUGGGUGAAGAAGGUUUUCGGAUUGUAAAGCCCUUUCGGCGGGGACGAUGAUGACGGUACCCGCAGAAGAAGCCCCGGCUAACUUCGUGCCAGCAGCCGCGGUAAUACGAAGGGGGCUAGCGUUGCUCGGAAUGACUGGGCGUAAAGGGCGCGUAGGCGGAUCGUGCAGUCGGGCGUGAAAUUCCUGGGCUCAACCUGGGGACUGCGUUCGAGACGCACGGUCUAGAGUUUGGAAGAGGGUCGUGGAAUUCCCAGUGUAGAGGUGAAAUUCGUAGAUAUUGGGAAGAACACCGGUGGCGAAGGCGGCGACCUGGUCCUUGACUGACGCUGAGGCGCGAAAGCGUGGGGAGCAAACA